rnacentral:rRNA from 1 species
UAGGGAAUCUUCGGCAAUGGGGGGAACCCUGACCGAGCAGCGCCGCGUGAGUGAAGAAGGUUUUCGGAUCGUAAAGCUCUGUUGUUAAGGAAGAACGAGUGUGAGAAUGGAAAGUUCAUGCUGUGACGGUACUUAACCAGAAAGGGACGGCUAACUACGUGCCAGCAGCCGCGGUAAUACGUAGGUCCCGAGCGUUGUCCGGAUUUAUUGGGCGUAAAGCGAGCGCAGGCGGUUAGAAAAGUCUGAAGUGAAAGGCAGUGGCUCAACCAUUGUAGGCUUUGGAAACUGUUUAACUUGAGUGCAGAAGGGGAGAGUGGAAUUCCAUGUGUAGCGGUGAAAUGCGUAGAUAUAUGGAGGAACACCGGUGGCGAAAGCGGCUCUCUGGUCUGUAACUGACGCUGAGGUUCGAAAGCGUGGGUAGCAAACAGG